GUUGGUGGGAAGCAGCAGAAUUUCAUUUUGCUAUCCCCUGAUCCACUAAUGGCGUGGAAGUACCUCAGGCUGUCUUUGGGAGAAUGUCCCCGAAAAGCACAAUGCUGCUCAACAGGAGGGCACGGACAUCUCUGUGAAGGACAGGGAGGAGAAGAGAGAGAUCUCCAAAUCCGAGGGGAAUUCUGAGUGAGUGAGUGGCAGGGCCGGGAGCCAUGCCCGAGGGCCACGAGCCUGCAACUCCUUCUUCAUGCCAGAAGUCGCAGCGACCUGUCAUGCCUCCGGCCCUCAUGAGGCCACAGGGCCAGGCACACAUUCUCAGCCCCACCAGGGUAGUGCCAGCAGAGGACAAAGGCUCCCAUUCAGAGUGAACUGCUCCAGCCGCAGGCCCCGAGUGGCCCCUCUGAAGCUAAGCCACCUUCCUCCGUGCACCCCGCUGCCUCCCGCCCAAUUCCACCAGCUUCUCUGAAAUCAAUCAGGUCAAGGUCAAACGGCCAAGGUGAAGCCAAACCCAGGGAAGCAGAUUUAGAGAACUGAACAGACACCUCACUGCCAGCUCACAGUUGUGACUCAGCAGAAAUUCUGGAAUGAAGAGCCAGAUGUAAAUGUUUGUGGAAGAGAAGAGAAUAGAUGCUUGUGGAAUUGGCAGUGCAUGAACAAACGCCACACUGAUGAAGGAGUGAGCGAGUGGGUGAAAGGCUGGGCCCUUCGCUCUGCUGAGCGGCUCUGAGGAAACUUCCUUUAGAAUCUGAUAAAGUGAUUCUCAAGUUUAUUGGGAAGAAAAAAUGGCCAAGAACUGCCGAGAAAACUUGAAAAGAAUAAUAAGCAGCGAUUGGGACAAGGGAGUGCUUAUGCCACCAGGUAUCCAAAAGAAAUAUAAAACUAUUGCAAUUACAAAAAGUGCAAUGGGGGCUGGCCCAGUGAGGCAGUGGUUGUGUUCAUGCACUCCACUUCAGUGACCUGGGCUUUGCAGGUUAAGAUCCCAGGUGCAGACCUAGCACGACUUGUCAGGCCACGCUGUGGUGGCAUCCUACUUAAAACAGAGGAAGACUGGCACAGAUGGUAGCUCAGCGACAAUCUUCCUCACAAAAAAAAGAGAAAAAAGAAACAUUCAGUGGUAAACUGAACCAACGAUAUGAAUAGGGAAAAAAAAAAUAAACAGUAACCCUGGGGAAAAAAAUUCAACUCCACCAGUAAUCAAAGUGUGCAAAAUCAAAAUAGGCAGAUAUCAUGUGCACUCAUCAUACUCGCAAAGAGGAAAAAGAAUGUGAUGUGUUGUUGGUGAAUUUGUGCUAAAAUAUGCACUCACUGGUAUGUGACAUUUUGGUGCACCAUAAUAAACCAAUGAACGUCCAGAUUUUGAAAAUUACCAAG
rnacentral:lncRNA from 1 species